CAGUCGCCACGGUAAUACAGAGGGUGCAAGCGUUAAUCGGAAUUACUGGGCGUAAAGGGCGCGUAGGUGGUUGCGUAAGUGAGAUGUGAAAUCCCCGGGCUUAACCUGGGAAUGGCAAUGGAUACUGGCGAGCUAGAGUGUGUCAGAGGAUGGUGGAAUUCCCGGUGUAGCGGUGAAAUGCGUAGAGAUCGGGAGGAACAUCAGUGGCGAAGACGGCCAUCUGGGACAACACUGACGCUGAGGCACGAAAGCGUGGGGAGCAAACAGGAUUAGAUACCCCCGUAGUCCCUGUCUCUUAUAC
rnacentral:rRNA from 1 species